rnacentral:misc_RNA from 1 species
CUAAGGAAACCAAUAAAAUCAAUCAUCUUCAGUUUUGAAAGACUUAGGAUAACUAAGUUUUUCUUCGUGACUUCACGAAGGGCCUAUAGCUCAGUUGGUUAGAGCACACGCCUGAUAAGCGUGAGGUCGGUGGUUCAAGUCCAUUUAGGCCCACCAGAGUUAUAGGUGUCGUAAGAACACAAAUUCUUUGAAAAUUAGGUAAAUAAUAGUUAAUUUUCCGGA